CCGCGGCUUCACCCCUCUUCAACAUCUCUAAAUUAGAAACGCUUUGUCGGUUUGGAACAAAUGGCCACGAAGGUGUAAAAAGGAACAGAAAUCUAAUUUUAUGCUACGUAAAGGAUCACAGAAUGACAGAAUGAGCAAGGUUGGAAGGGACCACAGUGGGUCAUCUGGUGUAACCUCCCUGCUCAAAAAGGGUCAUCCCAGAGCACAUGGCACAGGAUUGUGUCCAGACGUACUUGAAUAUCUCCACAGAUAUUCACAUAUCUCCUCUCUCAGUGAGGGAGACUCCACAACCUCUCUGUGCAACCUGUUCCAGUGCGGGGUCACCGGCACAGUAAAGAAGUUCUUCCUCAUGAUCUGGUGGAACUUCCUGUGCAUCAAGUUUCUGCCCGUUGCCCCUCGUCCUGGUGGUUGGCACCAUCAAGAAGAGCCUGGCUCCAUCUUCUUGGCACCCUGCCUACAGAUAUAUACACACAUCAACUAGGUCCCCUGUCAGUGUCUUUUCUUAAGCCAAACAGGCUGGCCCUGGGCAGGGGCCAUGCUGCUUUGGGGGUGCUGAGUACUGAGAGCCAUGGUACCCCGUGGCCCCCACUUCUGAUAACCCACAGACCUUCACUCAGGAGCAGGGGCUGAGGCAGUGCCUGCCCUUUGAAGCCUUGAGCUCCUUUCUGAAAGUGCACACAUGUGUUCCCCUAAGUGCCAUAAAACUCGCCUGAGCCUGCUCAGGCUGGGAUCCUACACAAGCUGGCCUGUUGGUUCGGCAGAGCUGAGACUGGUGUAUGUUCUGCCAACGUGAUUUCAGGCUAUUGCUUAUGUAAAACAGAACACCUCCUAAGCCGUCGUUUACUAAACAGAAUCUCUGGCUUCUGCUCUCACGCUACACAAGGAGGCAAAUUGUAUUCUGUGUGAGAAGCUUUAAACGUGAUAUUCAGCGAAACAAAGACACACAUCCAGAAACAACAAAGACAAGAUGCAAGAGACACAAGAAAGAAAUCAUCAAGAAUGAAAACUCUUGGAUACAGUUGUAUUACCUGGAGCACAGGGAUGGAGGUCCCUUGGAGCCUGGUGGCAUUCCUCGUGACUGAGGUGAUGACAGAGACUAAUUUCUUGCCAUAGUUGAAUGAGACCUAUCUGACAAAAAUGACAGCACCAAUGUCAGUUUAACUGGCACGUAAAUAAUAGAGAUUAUUUCUAUGUUCCUAAAUAAAUAUAUUUUCUUUCCUCCUGGAGAUAUUCCAGGCUGCGCAGCUUUGGAAUUUACUUACAUGCACCUUCCUGACAUGGGAUGCCAAAAUAUAGUUACACAGUAAAGGAAUCUGCAUUCUGUAUUAAUAUGAAAACAUAGCUCUAGCUUAACAGAGGAUAACACUAAAAUCAGUUUGAAGGAAAACAACUCAAGAUAAACCACAUCUCAGUAAAAUACUUAGGUGUUGUUAAAAGACUAUGCCUGAAACAAACAGCAGCACAAGAGCUGAAGGACUGCAGCAGUUUAAAGAGAGACUCUUGGAAGAAUGGCAAGUGUUGGAGCUAUUCAACCUGACACAGGCAUCCAUAGGUUUGUCCAAAAAUGUUCAUUGAGCCUGAAGGGUGUCAGACCCUGGUCUUACAGUGAAACAAAUGUGUGCACUGAUUGAUUUAUUGAUACUUCUGCAACCAGUUAUCUUCAUUAAGUUUGUUCCUCCUGUGAAGCAAAAAUGGUAGCUUUGGUUACUGUCUUCUCCAGUAUCACAGACUUUCACAGGAAAGACCCAUAUUGAGUUGGGAAGGUAUCUUGGCUACACACAACCAGUACACAUGAUGUGUCCCUGAAUCCCGCCUGGAAUAUGCUAAAUCCAGGAGGGCACUUUUUUAUCAUAGAAUCAUUAUGGAGACAAGAUUUCAACCACUGCAUAUGCCAAUUAGUUUUGAUCUCCACAGGGACUUUUUUUUUGCAAAAUCUUUGACGACUCGUGGUUUGUGUAAGACGGUUUUCAGCAAUUCAUUUCAUUUGAAAAGUUAAAUAUCAAGAGUGUAAAGUGACAUCCUAAGAAAAAUCCAGCCUGCUCUAGAAAAAAAAGUAAAGGAAACUUGGUGUAGAACAAUAAUCUGUACUUUCUGAGAGGUUAUGGCAACAAACAGAUAACAGACUGGUAAAUAGAGUGCUAUGACCAUCUUCUGUAGCUCUUAUGUGAACUUCUGCCUUUCUGUAUCCUUGUGAGUACAUAUUUGGUGAUAAGAACUCUGUAAAAUAUUUGUAAUCUCUUUGCUUUGGGCAUCACUGAUGUUAUGAACAUAGACAACAUAAGUACCUUUUAUUUCACAGUAGGCUCAAGAAAAGAUAGUUUCUCUGUUGUGAGCUCUGUUGCGUUAUUGGUGAACAGAAGACUUCUCCAGCAUUUCCAUUUAUGAGUUCUAUACCACAGAGGAUUAAUUCAUGCUUCCAGUAUACUUUGGGACUAGCCCCAGAAAUUACUUCAGAUGUUCAAAAUACAGUUUCACAAAAUAGUUGCUUAUCUAUGUUUCUGUUAAGGAAUAGGAAGCAAUCAGAAUGGUUAAGUGAUAUGCAAAAGACACUCUAACCUUCAGAUUGUAGGACUUGGAAGAUAUCUUUGAAAGAGGAUGCUUGGCAAUGAGGAAAAUGUAUGUGCAUCUCAAAAAAUUGUUAACAAUAAAUUGAAAGACUUCACUAAAACAUCCUUUUACAGUAGCUUUCUAUUGCUGCCCGUCUGUACAAAAAUACAAACACCCAUGCACAUAUAGGGGAAGGGAGAAAUCACAGUGCAAUGUGGGGAGUUAAAUUACUCAUUCCAGUACACUGCGUUCACAAUUUUACCAUAAAGUAAUAUGGUUUUGUAGAAUUUUAUUCCUCACCAGUGUUUCAAUGUCUUCAAAUGAGAUUAAUCUUUAAGAACGUAUUUCUAGUUUCUCGGCAUGUUUCAGGUAGAUUUUUGGAGUGAAGUAAAAAGGUGAAAAUGUAUUUUCUUUUGUUAACAUAUAUAUGCAAAAUCAGCUUUUUUCUCAAGCACUACAAAUAAUCAUGAACAGCUCAAAAUCUCAUUGAUGGGCAUGGGUUGUACAUUUCAAGAAAAGCUGAAAUGAAGGAGAAAUAAAUCAGUGGGAGAGAAAUGUUUUAUGUUGGUUUAGUUUUUAUUUUAUUGCUAGAAACUGCUGUCUCUUUACAUUUUCUUCUUCUGAAGAAGAGGCUGCGCUCAGUGACUAAAUCUGUCCUCUCAAGGGAGCAUGCAUUACUACUGCAGCAGAAGAGGUGGAGGCAGCCCAAGCCCAGAGUUAGUCUCAGACAGUAAUCAGAUCUUUUCUUAAUAUCAAGAACUCAGUUCCAACUUCUUGUUUUAUUGCUACCUUAUAACAAGGAAAGGGGAAAAAAAUAAAUGAAGUUACAGCAACUGAAUGAUAAAUUAAGCAUAUAAAGUCGAGACAGAGAGAAUCAAUUACUUAUUUAAAAAUUUGUUCAGCUCUAAGCAGCAGUGUUUAUGCUUACUUUUUAUGGUGUUCUAACUUUUUUGCUCUGAUUCUGGUCCUGUAGCUUUAGAGUUUCUAUAGAAUUUUGGUUUUCAUUAAGAUGGGGUGACAACACCAUUCUUUCCUAGCACAGAAACUUCCAUUUGUCUUAGU